GAUGAACGCUGGCGGCAUGCCUAACACAUGCAAGUCGGACGGGAAGUGGUGUUUCCAGUGGUGGACGGGUGAGGAACGCGUAAGAACCUGCCUUUGGGAGGGGAACAACAGCUGGAAACGGCUGCUAAUACCCCGUAGUGUGAGGAGCAAAAGGAGGAAUCCGGCAGUGGAGGGGCUUGCGCCUGAUUAGUCAGUUGGUGAGGCAAUAGCCAACCUAGGCGGUGAUCAUUAGCUAGUCAGAGACGAUGAACAUCGACACUGGGACUGAGACACGGCGCGGGCAGCUACGGGAAUGAGCAGAAGGGUAACAUCCAAAAUAAGCGAAAGCCUGAACGGGCAAAGCUGCGUGGAGGUGGAACGCCAGCGAUAAUUGAGCUGGUGAAUCAGGAGGCGAAGUUGUGACGGUAUCUGAGGAGUAAGCAGCGGCUAACUCAGUG
rnacentral:rRNA from 1 species